GCCAGGCCGGCCUCCCGGCGGCGCGCAGAGCCCGGCGGCGCGUGGGGCCAGGCCGGCCUCCUGGCGGCGCGCGGAGCUGCCUGCUCUUCCUCCGGUGAUUGUGAUUGUAUUCUGUGAAAUUUGUGAUUGUGAGAUGUAUUCUUCUGAAAUUUGUUAUUGUGAAAUGUAUUUUGCUGAUUGUAAAAGGUAUUCUUGUGAUUGUGAUGACUGGUGUGGAAAUAUAUUCUUGUGAUUGUGAUGUGAUUUUUUGAUUGUAAUGACUGUGUGGUGGAAAAGGAAAAAAAAGGAAAAAGAGAAAAAAAAUGAAAAUGAAAACGAAAAAAAGGAGGGAAAGAAAACCUACGCGUUUGGACACAAAGACUACCGACCGGUACUAAAAGAUCUUUUAGUACCGGGCAACUUGACCGGUACUAAAUAGUACCGGCCAAGCGAUACCGGUCGGUUACCCGGUAUUAAUAGGGGGUUGCAGACCGGUACAAAUGGCAAUAUUUCUAGCAGUGUACCGACGCCGACGACGAGUACCAGCACUGGAUCCAGGACAAGAGGCUUGGGAGCCGGAUCAGGGACUUGGAAGGCUACCCGCUUUUGUCCUCGUCAACAGAGUCACCGGUGACGCCACCGAUGGUUCCACAGACCAGGGCAAUCCUCUGAAGCUUAAGGCAUCCAAUCCGUGCUACUUGGAUGAGUUCACAAUGUUGUCGAAGGGCCGUGACAUGGGGGAUGGCUUUGGGUUCAUACACAUGUUGUGCGAUAUCUCCCUCAACUUCAGUGUCUUCCAUGUGGAUAAGGACCAUGGUGGGGUGCACGAUGACACCAAACUCAUGCUCUUGGAUUGGAAUCUGGGACUGGAAGACAACUUGCACUUUCAGUGGAAGAUUGUCCCCUAGUAAAUUGCUGUGCUGCAGCUAUGCAUUGGUCAUUGCCCUUGGUUUAGAGUUCCAGAGAUGAGGCUCUCAUCUGCUGCGGUGCUACUAGAGUGAAGUUGUGUUUGAUCUGUGGUGAUAAUGUGCCCCCAUGUGCGUUUAGUUCAGUUCUGUCAUUAGGUGAGCUGGAUCUUCUUAAAUGACAAUAGUCUGCGUUAGCGAAGAUGAAGACAUGGAGCCCUACUUAUGGCAAAUCAUAUAAUAAAGUCAAGAAGCAUGCCCGUAUGUCUCAUCAGAACUCAUGGGGAAAUGUGCAACUAAUCCUCCACAAAUUUUGCUCCAGCGUUUGGCCGGCGAUUUUCAUUCUGCAGCUAGGUACGACCUAGCUGAAACAAGACAAGCAAGGCCCAGAUUACUUAUGAUUGAGCUAGUCAUGCCCAAGAGAUAUUGAUUCCCUAGACUAAAGACCACGUGACAUUAAAUUCAAGCAGAUUCAAUAAUAAUGAAGCCAGACUAUCAGCAGAUAUUUGUGGUCAUGUUCUAUAAAUGGCGGUCCGAACUAUCGGAUCAAGAAGAUUUAAGCAUGCAGUAUGGGGAUCAGGGCUAUCCUUCCACUGGCACCGAUCAUGCUCAUUGCCGGGCAGCUCGCGGCGGGAGCAAUCACCCUAGAUGAGCGUCUGGGCAUGCCGCCGCACGGCAAUUGCCACAGGGACCAACAAAGACAAUCACACUUCCCAUUCAUGGUGACCAUAAAGGCAGUGCUGCAGAUGUGGAAGAAGACAAGGGCUUCGCGGCUAUUUUCAUGCACCACCCUUCCACCUUGCCACCGUAAGGCAUGCUGAGGAAGUGAGGAAGAAGACUGAGGCUUCAUCCCUGAUGCCAUUUUUGUCCUCAAGUUUUAGCAUGCAGUAAUUAUUAGGAAAAAGUCUAUUUUUGACCAUCCAAUUCUGGCCUCAGUUUGGUUUUGGCCAUCGAAUUCCAAAACCGGAUAUCUUUGGCCAUUCAACUAUCAAAACCGUUCAAAUUUGACCAUCGGACUGUUUUGGUGGGUGGUUUUAAUUUUUUCUAUUUACAAUUAAAUAUUUAGAUCUUAAAAUGAUUAUUACUUUUUGCCUGUACCUCCGAUUUAGGCCAUUCUUGCGGUCACGCAUUUGUAACGGUGAGCUUUAUCUUUUAAAAUAUUCUUCAUACUAUUUUAUC